UAUAUCACUACACUGCCACGAUAAGCAAGUAGCGAACAAGUGAACAACUACAAUUCCAGUCAAUACUUAAUGUCGAAGAAGAUGAAGGUUAGCUGUAUUGCCGUUAUGCUGCUCUUGACACUCUUCGUGUCACAGUCAUAUUCUACGGCUUCUCCCGAGAAAUGUCCUCCUGGGCUUUGGUGCAAAGAUUCGCGGGAUGCGCGUGAAUUAGUUGAACCUGAUAAAGUCAAAGCUUUCCUAAGGACUAGAAGGUCCAAGAAUUUGCUUUUGGAAGCCGAAGAAGGACCCAACAUGCUUAAAGGAGAGAAAUGAAUAUAUGUUAUCAGAAACUUACAAGGUUGAAAUGGCAAACGAUGUCUAAAUGAUGACAAAUAAAUUAAAGCAUAAGAAGCAUAAAAUACGACAACAAAUAAACAAAAAAUACAAAAGCAAAUGAAAGGUCGAUUAAAGUAUCUAUACAAAUUAAUCGCAUUGUUAAAAACUAAAAGUUUUCAUAAAUAAUGAAGCAACCCAAAAAGUUAUUGUAAAGCAUCAAUGCAAAUUAUUAAAAAAUAUACUAAGGUGGUUUUGAAAAUGGUAAGCAUAAGAUAGAAACAAUACUCAUAAAAGUGUUGUGGUUUAUUGUCUGCACCAAAACGCCAAUGAAAGUUCGAAAACGUUAAUGAACCCACGCAAACAUAUUCAUGAUUGUCAAAUUCAAUGCUAAAUUUCUUAAUGAAAGUUCCAUCGCACUCUUGAGAGU